rnacentral:sRNA from 1 species
UACAAAAAAAAAUAAAUAUAUAUAUAUAUAUCAAAGAAUGGGUGCCCAAUGCUGCAAAUGUUGCUGCUGUUGUUAUCAAGGCGUACCGCAGCCUCCGCGGAAAAAGAAAUGCGAAGUUAAAAUCCAGCCCGCAAAAGGGGACUAUUGCCGUAGACCCGAUGCCCCACCUCAGCCCAGCACCCUGGAACGGCCCAAUGUCCGUUGCCAGUGCCUGCCCAAGAACUAAAACAAACAAUUGGAAUGUUAUGUGCGGCGAAUUUCGAUCUGUCUGCACAAUAUGUAAGCAAAAUGUGUGGCACAAAAUCAACUUUUACCCACAGCUGAUGUUUGCGUUUACUCGUAUUUUAUUGCCACGUAAGUAGCACGAUCAUAAAUCAGAGGCAACAUCUGCACAGACGGAAGUGUCUGGGGUGAAGAGUGGGGGGGGAGGGCAGCCGGACUGUGGGUUGGGGGCAGCCAGCGGUUUAUGAAGCAGCUAUGAAAACGAAAAGAAAAAGAACGGCUUGAUGAUGUCAAUAUUAUUGUUGUUAUGCAAAAACCCUACAAAUGUUACUCAUGGACUCAGCACCGCAAAAUGACUCAAGAAGAAGACAUUUUAAGACAGAAUUGGAUUACUAUGAACUAUUUAUUAAUGUCAAGGCCAAAGGUAAA